rnacentral:rRNA from 1 species
UGUGCGUCUCUAAGCUAUGGUGAGACGCAGCGCACAGCUCAGUAACACGUGGCUAACCUGCCCUUGAGACAGGGACAACCCCGGGAAACUGGGGAUAAUCCCUGAUAGAUGAGGACUCCUGGAAUAGAUCUUCGUUGAAAAGAUGCUUAAUGCAUGCUUCUAGGCAUUGCUCAAGGAUGGAGCCGCGGCCGAUCAGGUUGUUGGUGAGGUAACGGCUCACCAAGCCUUUAACCGGUACGGGCCGUGGGAGCGGUAGCCCGGAGAUGGGCACUGAGAUAAGGGCCCAGGCCCUACGGGGCGCAGCAGUCGCGCAAACUCUGCAAUGCACGAAAGUGUGACAGGGCUAUCCCGAGUGCCGUCCGCUGAGGACGGCUUUUCCACGCUGUAAGGAGGCGUGGGAAUAAGGAGAGGGCAAGACUGGUGUCAGCCGCCGCGGUAAUACCAGCUCUCCGUAGUUGUGGGGAUGCUUAUUGGGCCUAUAGCAUUCGUAGCCGGUUCGGCAAGUCCCCCCUUAAAUCCAGCAAU